UGGGUAACCUGCCCAAGAGAUCGGGAUAACACCUGGAAACAGAUGCUAAUACCGGAUAACAACAGAUGAUGCCUAUCAACUGUUUAAAAGAUGGUUCUGCUAUCACUCUUGGAUGGACCUGCGGUGCAUUAGCUAGUUGGUAGGGUAACGGCCUACCAAGGCGAUGAUGCAUAGCCGAGUUUAGAGACUGAUCGGCCACAUUGGGACUGAGACACGGCCCAAACUCCUACGGGAGGCAGCAGGC
rnacentral:rRNA from 1 species